ACUCAAAGGAAUAGACGGGGGCCCGCACAAGCAGCGGAGCAUGUGGUUUAAUUCGACGCGACGCGAAGAACCUUACCCGGGCUUGACAUGUGCCUGAUCGUCCUGGAAACAGGGCUUCCCUUCGGGGCAGGUUCACAGGUGGUGCAUGGCUGUCGUCAGCUCGUGUCGUGAGAUGUUGGGUUAAGUCCCGCAACGAGCGCAACCCCCGUCGCAUGUUGCCAGCAUUUAGUUGGGGACUCAUGCGAGACUGCCGGUGACAAACCGGAGGAAGGUGGGGAUGAGGUCAAGUCAUCAUGCCCCUUAUGUCCGGGGCUACACACGUGCUACAUUGGCGUAUACAGAGGGCUGCGAUACCGCGAGGUGGAGCGAAUCCCUUAAAGUACGUCUCGGUUCGGAUUGUAGGCUGAAACCCGCCUACAUGAAGGUGGAGUUGCUAGUAAUCGCGGAUCAGCAUUGCCGCGGUGAAUACGUUCCCGGGCCUUGCACACACCGCCCGU
rnacentral:rRNA from 1 species